UACAGAGGGUGCAAGCGUUGUUCGGAAUUACUGGGCGUAAAGCGCGUGUAGGCGGUUUGAUAAGUCAGACGUGAAAUCCCUCAGCUUAACUGAGGAAUUGCAUCUGAUACUGUCAGACUUGAGUAUCGGAGGGGAUGGUGGAAUUCCUGGUGUAGAGGUGAAAUUCGUAGAUAUCAGGAGGAACACCUGUGGCGAAGGCGGCCAUCUGGAAGAUUACUGACGCUGAGACGCGAAAGCAUGGGGAGCAAACAGGG
rnacentral:rRNA from 1 species